AUAAUUUAAGUAUCCCUUGAUUAGCUUUGAUUAAAGACAAUGGUCUUGAUUUCACUGAUGAUCAGGUCUAAUGGAUUCCGUGGUGAUUAGUUUGUCUUUUAGUUCAUUAUUAUCCCUUGAAGCUGAUUGGUUUUAGGAUUGGGCAUAGCUCUGGAAUUUUUGUGAUAAUGCAUCGUUUGCUCUUGAUUUAUUGUGAAAGUUUGGAUUUUGUGACAAAUCGAACUGAGAUUGUUCUCUUUAUGGGUUUUGGGUUUCGGUCAAAUUUAGUUUCUCAUACUGUAUUUGCCUAAAUUGCUCUGUCCGUGGUUUAAAGUUUUGCAUUAGCUAUGAAUUGAAAUGUACUAUAUCACUCUAACCAGAACCUAAAUUCGGCUGGUCAAACUUAAACUUUCAAACUAGUGUACAAUUUGAAAGAGUUUUGUCUCGAUUUUUGUUCUUCUCUUUAACCUUUUUUAAGAGACCAUGUAUAGCUUUUCUGCUGUUGUUCCUUGGCAUUUUUCUUUGAACGUAGUAGAGCUAAUUGUAUGGAAAGUCAAAAAGUUAAGAGGCCACUAAUGGUACUAGUAAGUAGACUUUGAAUCUUGGGAGUUUAAGCUUAAUGGUACUAAUGCUUUCUGCCGAAAUAUCAUCAUGUUUUCUUGUGCUGAGGUAUUAUUGUUUUUGAACAUCGAGAAUUGCAUUACACAAAGCAAGUUUAAGGGUUAUGUUAUAAUAUGAUAGAUUUGCGUUACAUCUCGAGCUGGUUCUCCUAUCUAUAAGAUCAUAAUGAAUAACUUUCUUAUUGAGUGAUGUGAAGUCAUUGAGAUUCAAGCAUGCCAUGUAUCUCUAAAAAAAUUUAAAUUCUCUAGUUUAAAAGUUAAAUGUUAUUUCUAUUUUUUUUUUUUGAGGUUGAAA
rnacentral:lncRNA from 1 species